GCCAAGUCUGUGGCUCCCCUUCCAAGUUGGUGAUGGAGAACCAUUUCGCUAUGUGGGUCGAAUGGCUCGCCGUAAGCUGAGAAGGACGGGUUAAAACACAAACCAUCUCGACAAACCGCGUCUCUAGCAACCGGGCAGACGUUAAAGAGCCAACCUCGAAAACAGUUUUCGGUUGUCAAGCUGACCCAACAAUCAUUCAUUCAUAACAGAAAGCAUGAAAAAAAAAAUGAAUCUCGCAGACAGUUGCAACACCGGAUUCGCUUACAUCAAAAACUUUCCAAUCUAAAUGUCGCUUCACUCUACUGGAUCGAGAUGGGUUUUUCUAAAGCCACGGCCCGGUUCUAUUUUUGCAGUUGGGAGAGCUGCUCAAAACUGCGUCUCAGCGGCGAACUCCGGCUCCUCCUCAUCCUCUCCAUUAUCCCGCUCAACCUGCGCAUUUUGCUCAAAUCGUCCACCCUCUCAAGACUUUUUAUGCGGUGGCUGCUAUUGCUCCUCCUCCUCUUACUCUCUCUCUCUGAAUCCGCCACCGUUUAAUAAUAGAAAUCCAUGACUUUGGAGUUCAACAUAUCGCAAGCCGAUUGAGUUACCUACUCAGCCGAGAACGCCUGUUCUUCACUUACGCCAUCGCGCAAUAAGCGUUAGACGAUAACGCACUGCAAGGUCGUUUACGUCCAGCUAUCAGUACGAGCGAUAAACAAGCCUCAUGCAAAGCUAUGAGGCACAAAAACAUACCUAAAGAGCACCUUGUGAUUUGACCAAAAUUUAAAGCUUCUUUUAACAUAUGGAGGCCUUACUCAUCUUUUGACCAUACUCCUAUAUGCUAUGCUUAAAUAGAUAUACAGUAAAAAUCUGAAUCAAGAUACAUUACUUUAGAAAGUAAACUUGUCCUUGAGGUGUCUUGGCUUGCUCCCAUCCUUCAGGAAGUGGGAAGUGAUCGAGACUUAGGUCACAACUCUGCUGCUUCAAGUGCUGGUGUACUGGACGUUGUUGACCAGCUGCCAAAGUCUGUUGGAGUGAUGCUGGAGAACUGUGUGCUCUCGAAUGGUGAAUGUUAGCUGAUGGUGAAGGAUUCAGAGCAAAAUGCCCUGAAUCUGUACUGUUUUCUCGGCUGUGAGAAUUAGAUGCCACAGAAGGUGACUUAGAUCCAGUUGGAGGUGGUUUAAAAAAAGAAUCUGGCAGAUUUCGUAACCGAAAUGGCAGCUGCAAUGGUCUAUGAGCAUCAGGCUUCAGUACGCUGUCAAACAAGGCUUGUAAUUCGGAAUCUGAAUCGCCACGGAUAUGAACGAUUUGGUUGCGUUCUUUGUGCUCGACCACUUCGGGGUUUUUUGACAUUUUAAUGAUCCCAGAUUUUCUAAGCGUCAGAGCAGACAGGAUAAGUUGUGGAAUCAACACGCAAACAAAGAAGGGCGAUAUAACGAAGUCGAUAAAAAAAAAUUAAAAAUUUUAACUUAAUAAUCAGCCGACACACCCUUCCACACAAAAGACAGUCUGGCGAGUAACUGAUGCACCUCAUCAAUGCAACUCGGUAAAAGUGCGGAAGGUGGCAGGCAGGCAUAACUUAUUUUUUCAAUAACAAAUAUUGAUGACACCUGUCGGUAAUCUGUUCAACUACAAUGAUUUAAUUCGUUUCGAGCUUCGUGCAAUUUAACGGUCGAAUGGUGGCUUGGCAAAAAGUAUGUUUCCCCCAAUCCAACCAAAAACGAAACACAAAUUAAAGCUAAAACUCUGUACAUUGAUCACUUCAUUAGUUAUCAAACUCCUAGUCGCCCAUUAGUAUUUUAAGAAAUUUCUGACCAUACGAUAAUUUGACCAUUUGACUUUGGUGGCUCGGAACUCGAGAACGCUUAUGGCUAAAGAGUCCGUUCCACUUAUGGUGCUGUAUGCCACGUGGACUUAACUGGUCGUAUUCACUUCGCGUUUGAAACAGAAAGUUGUUCAUUUUAUACCCAGAGCAUUUAUCAGACUUUCCCGAAAGCAGCGGGCGGGUAAGGUGUGUAAUCGUGUAUUAUGCUUUUGAAUUUAUCAAAUGGUCAAGGAUUGAAAACACGCAUGGGGAGGGAAAAACACGAACCUCCUUGUGAAAAUGUAAAAGAACAUGUGUCAGAAAUACAAUAAACCUGUUCAAUUCAUCUCUCCGUUAUUCCAUAAAAUUAAAAUGCGACAAGAAUGGAUCUGCGUUCACAUCAUGCACCGUCAUGCAUCGCACAAUCACUUUCUUUUCAGAUUUUUCAAAGCAAACGUUUAAAUUGAGAACCUCGAGUAAAAUGAGUACAGCGGUCAAUGUCACCAUUUAACAACUGGCACUUUGCGGAUGGGGUCUACAUCGAAUGCAUACAGUCCAUCGAGUAGAGCUGUACUUUAACUGCCGCAAACGGGAAGGAAAAAACUCAUGAAAAAAAAAAAACAAAAAAAACACAAUAAUAAUCAUUUUUUGUUGUUGCCAAAUCGAUUAUCCGCAGCGUGCACGACAGGUUUUGAUCCCUUAUCUCUUUGAAAGUUAUUUCCACCAAUCUAAUCGAUAAAAUGGGCUUUGAGGUACUUCAUCAUGCCGAAAGUGCGAAAUCUUUUAACCCC